CGGAGGGAAACCGAGUCUUAACCGGGCGUUAAGUUGCAGGGUAUAGACCCGAAACCCGGUGAUCUAGCCAUGGGCAGGUUGAAGGUUGGGUAACACUAACUGGAGGACCGAACCGACUAAUGUUGAAAAAUUAGCGGAUGACCUGUGGCUGGGGGUGAAAGGCCAAUCAAACCGGGAGAUAGCUGGUUCUCCCCGAAAGCUAUUUAGGUAGCGCCUCGUGAAUUCAUCUCCGGGGGUAGAGCACUGUUUCGGCUAGGGGGCCAUCCCGGCUUACCAACCCGAUGCAAACUGCGAAUACCGGAGAAUGUUAUCACGGGAGACACACGGCGGGUGCUAACGUCCGUCGUGAAGAGGGAAACAACCCAGACCGCCAGCUAAGGUCCCAAAGUCAUGGUUAAGUGGGAAACGAUGUGGGAAGGCCCAGACAGCCAGGAUGUUGGCUUAGAAGCAGCCAUCAUUUAAAGAAAGCGUAAUAGCUCACUGGUCGAGUCGGCCUGCGCGGAAGAUGUAACGGGGCUAAACCAUGCACCGAAGCUGCGGCAGCGAACGUAUCACUUAAAGCGAUUCAGCGGGUUACGAUUGACGGAGCGAAGCGACGUCAAAGCGUAUACAAAGUCGAGUCGGUUUAAGGAUACGUUCGUUGGGUAGGGGAGCGUUCUGUAAGCCUGUGAAGGUGGCCUGUGAGGGUUGCUGGAGGUAUCAGAAGUGCGAAUGCUGACAUAAGUAACGAUAAAGCGGGUGAAAAGCCCGCUCGCCGGAAGACC
rnacentral:rRNA from 1 species